rnacentral:tRNA from 2 species
AAACGGAUGCCUGUUGGUUAAGGUAAAUAGCUGUUAACUAUUUUUUGUGGGGUCGAAGCCCACCUGUUUA